UGGGGAAUAUUGCACAAUGGGCGCAAGCCUGAUGCAGCCAUGCCGCGUGUAUGAAGAAGGCCUUCGGGUUGCAAAGUACUUUCAGCGAGGAGGAAGGCGUUGUGGUUAAUAACCGCAGCGAUUGACGUUACUCGCAGAAGAAGCACCGGCUAACUCCGUGCCAGCAGCCGCGGUAAUACGGAGGGUGCAAGCGUUAAUCGGAAUUACUGGGUGUAAAGCGCACGCAGGCGGUCUGUCAAGUCGGAUGUGAAAUCCCCGGGCUCAACCUGGGAACUGCAUCCGAAACUGGCAGGCUAGAGUCUUGUAGAGGGGGGUAGAAUUCCAGGUGUAGCGGUGAAAUGCGUAGAGAUCUGGAGGAAUACCGGUGGCGAAGGCGGCCCCCUGGACAAAGACUGACGCUCAGGUGCGAAAGCGUGGGGAGCAAACA
rnacentral:rRNA from 1 species